AUCCCUCUAGCAUUUAUUGCUCAUUUCUCUCCUCUGUUAAUUGGAAUGUUUUCUAUAUUCUAGGCUCCAAUCAGCUUAAAGUCCUUGCAAAGAAAGAAAUUGUGCCCUGUCUCUCAGCGUCGACCAUAGCAGAGAGCCUGGGACAUGAAUGGGUGUCAUUAUUUAUCUGCUGAACAAAUAGGAGCAGAAAAACAUUGUCACUGGAAAGACUGAAACUAACAUGAGUGGAAAAGAAUUGAAGCUCAAGAAGGAAAUUAUCUGGAUUUUACAGAGGAAGGAGGACAUUGAAGAUUAGAGGUUGCAUAGCCUGACCAUGUUUACAUCUAG
rnacentral:lncRNA from 1 species